CAGGCCUAACACAUGCAAGUCGAGCGAGAAAGUCUUCGGAUGAGUAAAGCGGCGGACGGGUGAGUAACGCGUAGAUAACCUACCUUCGAAUGGGGAAUAACGUUUCGAAAGGAACGCUAAUACCGCAUAACGAUCGCAAUCGAUGGAUUGCAAUCCAAAGGGGACGUCCGCAAGGGGUUCUCGUUUGAAGAUGGGUCUGCGUCCCAUUAGGUAGUUGGUGAGGUAACGGCCCACCAAGCCGACGAUGGGUAGCUGGUCUGAGAGGACGACCAGCCACACUGGAACUGACACACGGUCCAGACUCCUACGGGAGGCAGCAGUGGGGAAUAUUGCGCAAUGGAGGAAACUCUGACGCAGCGACGCCGCGUGGGUGAUGAAGGCCUUCGGGUUGUAAAGCCCUGUCGGCUGGGAAAAAGGUGGUCGUGCUAAUACCACGAUUGCUUGAUGGUACCAGCAAAGGAAGCACCGGCUAACUCUGUGCCAGCAGCCGCGGUAAU
rnacentral:rRNA from 1 species